CCCUAUAUUUACAAUACCUUUUGACUGAGAUGUCUAAGGGCUUUAAACAUAUGCUUUAAGCAGCGGACAGUCAGGGCUGACAUUUGUUACAAAUCUUUUCAGAGGGCCAUGUGGAAGAGAUCUAAUCCGGGAAGAGCCACUGCCUCCCUGUGUGAUCUGCCACAGUGACAUAUCACUUGACCUCAGGCACGGCAGCUGUACAGCUAGGUGGAAAAAUAGGGCCGGGCAGCAAACCAGGGGAUGGAUGCCUUUCAGCAGAGCUUUCCUGAGUAAAUAAUUUUCAAAUCGGUGCCUUGGCUCCUUUCUUAUUCCUCUGAAAGUUUUGGGUUUAGAUCAAAAUGAGGUUUUGCACCACUUCUUUUGGAUUUUUUUUUUUGAAUGAAUGUGUUAACGCGGUCGUGUAAUGUUUGUUAUUUUUUGUAGUAUUUGUAGGACAGAAGACAAAAGCCUGCUGUGAUAGAUGAGCUGUCGAAGCAAGGCUUCGGGCAGUGCUGCGGGGCAGGAGCAGGGCCGGCAUUCUUCUGGGGGCAAAAUACUGCGAAAGGCGGUGCAGCCCGUUACGAAACAGGGGAUGGCUGCGGCGGGCUGAGGAAAUCCUAGCCGGGAACACUCGCUGAGCCUCCCGAGAGCCGUGCCGAGCCGUGCCGUGCCGGCACCGCGGCUGCAGAGGGCGCAGCGUCCUCGCCGGAGCCGCCCCGGGGAGCCCCCCCCACCCCCGAGCCCUCCGGUGCCACCAAAAUCUUUGCACACCUGUGCGCUCCCCGGCACGUUUUGGGGGGAGAGCCCUCGAGCCGCUGAACAUCUGGAGAGCCACCCCAGUUGGCAGCUGGUGUCCCCUGUCUGCAAAGAAGCCUUUAGUGGGUACGAUGCUGGUGCUGUCACAUCAUUGUGCACCGUGCUGCAGGGCAGAGGGAGAGGAGAGGUGUCCACCUGUGCCACAGGGAGCAGGACACCAAGGUGCCUUGUUGUGGAGAGUGUGCUGCAAAAGCAGGGGCUGGAAAAGGAGGAGGGAAAACUCUCCCAAACCAUAAAGCUUGCAGACAGGAUAAAGGCUGUUGUAGGGUGCUUUAAACCCAAAUUGGUUGAAGUCCAAUCAUGAUGGGACCUUAAGUGGUAAGGUGCAGCUUCCAUCCCCAGGUAUGUGACAAUCCCAGCUGUACAAAAAGACACAGGCCAAGCAACGCUGGAAACAAACACAUAAAAACAAUCUCAUUCCAGCUUGCAGCUAACAAUCUCUGCAGCACAGCCUCUGCUGGAGCCACCAGCUGCCGGAGCUGACGUCCUCUCUGAGCAGCCCCGGCCCUCCUGCGUUCCCGAGCCCUCAGAUGACAGCACGUGGAUGUGCAGCCAGCCGUCAGCGGCGCAUGCCGAGCGGGUUUGUUACAAAAAUAGCAACACAAUGGGUCUUCCCAUUUUCCAGGGCGUCUUCCCCAGCCCUUACCCUUUUUACUGCCUCCGGGGAAACGUACAGGCAUGUGAGGUGCUGUGUCCCAGCUGGACAUGAACUGGAGGCAUCACCAACUUCUGACAGCUUUACCAACUCUGCAGUUUAGAACUAUGCAUUUAGGAAUUGCCUCAGUUUCUCUGUGACUGAUAAUGUUUGGGUUAUUACAUCUGGGCAGAUCGUUACAAAUAAAAUUUGAUUUUCACCAGUGACCUUUAAUUUCAUGUAACAUGAACACAGACAAAAGCUAGGUAGUUUCUGUUUCUGUUUUUCAGACGUGUGCAUGUGAAUUGACAAUAGACCAAGGGAAGAUGAGGUCUGUAAAAUAUUUCUUUCAUUUCUGUUUUAAUGUUUCCUGCUGGUUUUGUACUAUAGCUUUGGAUCACAACUGUGAUUUCCUCUGUUGCUGUAAAGAAGAUGAAAAAUGUUCACCAUCCCUGGUAUAUGUGAUGUCAUACCUACUGCAUUUUUGUUUUCUAGAUUUUCUGGAUGGGGUGUCUCAUGACAACAGAGUCAAAGACAAUGAUGAUUCUAAGCCAAACUUUUGAAUCAUUUAUUCCAACUUUCUGAACUGAGAAAAAUACCUUUCUCCGUAUUUACACUUGACUUUAAAUUAACUUUUGGAUACUUGCAGUAACAGCAUCCCCCAACAACAGAAGUCAGUGAGACCUUGUGAAGCUGCAUCCCUUCACUUAGUAGCCUACAAUAAGAAGGCUACAGUUUAAAAAAAAAAAUCUGUACUUUUUUUGGUGUUUUUUGUUUGUUUUAUUGUGUUCUCUUUUUCCUGGCAGAUUCUAAUCUAUAUGAAGUCUGACAAUGUCCUUUUUCCUAAACAAUGAUAUAUUUUGUUGUAUAUAUUGUACUUUCAUAUGCAUAUCCCAUGUAAUAAAAAUAAAGAAACAAUAUGCAUCUUGUCCCUGGAAGGGGCAAAGUCUCUGUAGAAUAAUAUUACUGCUGCAGACUGUUUAAGGGGCCUCUGUUCUAUGGUGUCCAGUAAAAUAAUUACUGCU